rnacentral:rRNA from 1 species
CGGACGGGUGAGUAACACGUGGAUAACCUACCUAUAAGACUGGGAUAACUUCGGGAAACCGGAGCUAAUACCGGAUAAUAUUUUGAACCGCAUGGUUCAAAAGUGAAAGACGGUCUUGCUGUCACUUAUAGAUGGAUCCGCGCUGCAUUAGCUAGUUGGUAAGGUAACGGCUUACCAAGGCAACGAUGCAUAGCCGACCUGAGAGGGUGAUCGGCCACACUGGAACUGAGACACGGUCCAG